GGGGGAGUGGCGGAACUGGCAGACGCGCAUGACUUAGGAUCAUGUCUCUUUCGAGGUGAGGGUUCGAGUCCCUCCUUCCCCA
rnacentral:tRNA from 1 species